GGUACACGAGCGGCGAACGGGUGAGUAACACGUGAGCAACCUACCCUCAACUUUGGGAUAAGCCUCGGAAACGGGGUCUAAUACCGGAUAACACCAUGUUCCUCAUGGAGUGUGGUUGAAAGUUCUGGCGGUUGGGGAUGGGCUCGCGGCCUAUCAGCUUGUUGGUGGGGUAAUGGCCUACCAAGGCGUCGACGGGUAGCCGGCCUGAGAGGGCGACCGGCCACACUGGGACUGAGACACGGCCCAGACUCCUACGGGAGGCAGCAGUGGGGAAUAUUGCGCAAUGGACGAAAGUCUGACGCAGCAACGCCGCGUGAGGGAUGACGGCCUUCGGGUUGUAAACCUCUUUCAGCAGGGACGAAGCGAGAGUGACGGUACCUGCAGAAGAAGGACCGGCCAACUACGUGCCAGCAGCCGCGGUAAUACGUAGGGUCCGAGCGUUGUCCGGAAUUAUUGGGCGUAAAGGGCUCGUAGGCGGUUCGUCACGUCGGGAGUGAAAACUCGGGGCUUAACCCCGAGCCUGCUUCCGAUACGGGCAGACUAGAGGUAGGCAGGGGAGAGCGGAACUCCUGGUGUAGCGGUGGAAUGCGCAGAUAUCAGG
rnacentral:rRNA from 1 species